rnacentral:rRNA from 1 species
AUUGAACGCUGGCGGCAGGCCUAACACAUGCAAGUCGAACGAGUGGCGGACGGGUGAGUAAUGUCUGGGAAACUGCCCGAUGGAGGGGGAUAACUACUGGAAACGGUAGCUAAUACCGCAUACCAUCGGAUGUGCCCAGAUGGGAUUAGCUAGUAGGUGGGGUAACGGCUCACCUAGGCGACGAUCCCUAGCUGGUCUGAGAGGAUGACCAGCAACACUGGAAUUGAGAAACGGUCCAAGCGCUGACGGGGGGCAGCAGUGGGGAAGAUUGCACAAUGGGCGCAAGCCUGAUGCAGCAAGGCCGCGUGUAUGAAGAAGGCCUUCGGGUUGUAAAGUACUUUCAGCGAGGAGGCGUUACUCGCAGAAGAAGCACCGGCUAACUCCGUGCCAGCAGCCGCGGUAAUUC